UACGUAGGGUGCAAGCGUUAAUCGGAAUUACUGGGCGUAAAGCGUGCGCAGGCGGUGAUGUAAGACAGGUGUGAAAUCCCCGGGCUUAACCUGGGAACUGCAUUUGUGACUGCAUCGCUGGAGUGCGGCAGAGGGGGAUGGAAUUCCGCGUGUAGCAGUGAAAUGCGUAGAGAUCCGGAGGAACACCAGCGGCGAAGGCGGCAUCCUGGACUGGUCCUGACACUCAUGAGCGAAAGCGUGGGGAGCGAUCCGG
rnacentral:rRNA from 1 species